UCUCCCGCUUCUCCUCCCUGAGCGGGUGCCUUAGACCUUAAGGCAUUUUGUCCCCGGGCUUUAUCCCCCUUUAGCCCGGGGCUUUUUUAU
rfam:Betaproteobacteria bacterium RBG_16_64_9 RBG_16_scaffold_51880, whole genome shotgun sequence.